rnacentral:rRNA from 1 species
AUUGAACGCUGGCGGCAUGCCUUACACAUGCAAGUCGAACGGUAACGGGUCCUUCGGGAUGCCGACGAGUGGCGAACGGGUGAGUAAUAUAUCGGAACGUGCCCAGUAGUGGGGGAUAACUGCUCGAAAGAGCAGCUAAUACCGCAUACGACCUGAGGGUGAAAGGGGGGGAUCGCAAGACCUCUCGCUAUUGGAGCGGCCGAUAUCAGAUUAGCUAGUUGGUGGGGUAAAGGCCUACCAAGGCAACGAUCUGUAGUUGGUCUGAGAGGACGACCAGCCACACUGGGACUGAGACACGGCCCAGACUCCUACGGGAGGCAGCAGUGGGGAAUUUUGGACAAUGGGCGCAAGCCUGAUCCAGCAAUGCCGCGUGCAGGAAGAAGGCCUUCGGGUUGUAAACUGCUUUUGUCAGGGAAGAAAUCUUCUGGGCUAAUACCCCGGGAGGAUGACGGUACCUGAAGAAUAAGCACCGGCUAACUACGUGCCAGCAGCCGCGGUAAUACGUAGGGUGCGAGCGUUAAUCGGAAUUACUGGGCGUAAAGCGUGCGCAGGCGGCUUUGCAAGACAGAUGUGAAAUCCCCGGGCUCAACCUGGGAACUGCAUUUGUGACUGCAAGGCUAGAGUACGGCAGAGGGGGAUGGAAUUCCGCGUGUAGCAGUGAAAUGCGUAGAUAUGCGGAGGAACACCAAUGGCGAAGGCAAUCCCCUGGGCCUGUACUGACGCUCAUGCACGAAAGCGUGGGGAGCAAACAGGAUUAGAUACCCUGGUAGUCCACGCCCUAAACGAUGUCAACUGGUUGUUGGACGGCUUGCUGUUCAGUAACGAAGCUAACGCGUGAAGUUGACCGCCUGGGGAGUACGGCCGCAAGGUCGAAACUCAAAGGAAUUGACGGGGACCCGCACAAGCGGUGGAUGAUGUGGUUUAAUUCGAUGCAACGCGAAAAACCUUACCUACCCUUGACAUGUCAAGAAUUCUGCAGAGAUGUGGAAGUGCUCGAAAGAGAACUUGAACACAGGUGCUGCAUGGCCGUCGUCAGCUCGUGUCGUGAGAUGUUGGGUUAAGUCCCGCAACGAGCGCAACCCUUGUCAUUAGUUGCUACGCAAGAGCACUCUAAUGAGACUGCCGGUGACAAACCGGAGGAAGGUGGGGAUGACGUCAGGUCCUCAUGGCCCUUAUGGGUAGGGCUACACACGUCAUACAAUGGCCGGUACAGAGGGCUGCCAACCCGCGAGGGGGAGCCAAUCCCUGAAAACCGGUCGUAGUCCGGAUCGUAGUCUGCAACUCGACUGCGUGAAGUCGGAAUCGCUAGUAAUCGCGGAUCAGCUUGCCGCGGUGAAUACGUUCCCGGGUCU